GCACUGUAACUGAACCUGUGGAGCCCCUUCAUGGCUCACUCGGGUCAAGCAAUGGUGCAACAGUAAAGGCUUGUUAUAACUGGAGCCUCUUGGCGUUUCCCCCCAAGUUGCUCUUUUAAAAGCAAUCCACAAAA